rnacentral:rRNA from 1 species
GAUGAACGCUAGCGGCAGGCUUAAUACAUGCAAGUCGUGGGGCAGCAUGAAUGUAGCAAUACAUUUGAUGGCGACCGGCAAACGGGUGCGGAACACGUACACAACCUUCCUAUAAGUGGGGAAUAGCCCAGAGAAAUUUGGAUUAAUACCCCGUAACAUAAUGAUGUGGCAUCACAUUAUUAUUAUAGCUUCGGCGCUUAUUGAUGGGUGUGCGGCUGAUUAGAUAGUUGGCGGGGUAACGGCCCACCAAGUCUACGAUCAGUAGCUGAUGUGAUGGCAUGAUCAGCCACACGGGCACUGAGACACGGGCCCGACUCCUACGGGAGGCAGCAGUAAGAAAUAUUGGUCAAUGGACGCAAGUCUGAACCAGCCAUGCCGCGUGAAGGAUUAAGGUCCUCUGGAUUGUAAACUUCUUUUAUCUGGGACGAAAAAAGGCGAUUCUUCGUCACUUGACGGUACCAGAUGAAUAAGCACCGGCUAACUCCGUGCCAGCAGCCGCCGUAACAC